rnacentral:rRNA from 1 species
AGAGUUUGAUCCUGGCUCAGGAUGAACGCUGGCGGCGUGCUUAACACAUGCAAGUCGAACGGAAAGGCCACAGCUUGCUGUGGUACUCGAGUGGCGAACGGGUGAGUAACACGUGGGUGAUCUGCCCUGUACUUCGGGAUAAGCUUGGGAAACUGGGUCUAAUACCGGAUAUGACCACUUUUUGGAUGGGGGUGGUGGAAAGCUUUUGCGGUAUGGGAUGAGCUCGCGGCCUAUCAGCUUGUUGGUGGGGUAAUGGCCUACCAAGGCGUCGACGGGUAGCCGGCCUGAGAGGGUGUACGGCCACAUUGGGACUGAGAUACGGCCCAGACUCCUACGGGAGGCAGCAGUGGGGAAUAUUGCACAAUGGGCGCAAGCCCGAUGCAGCGACGCCGCGUGGGGGAUGACGGCCUUCGGGUUGUAAACUCCUUUCGUCAGGGACGAAGCGAAAGUGACGGUACCUGGAUAAGAAGCACCGGCUAACUACGUG